rnacentral:rRNA from 1 species
CACCAGACUCCUACGGGAGGCAGCAGUGGGGAAUAUUGCACAAUGGGGGAAACCCUGAUGCAGCGACGCCGCGUGGAGGAAGAAGGUCUUCGGAUUGUAAACUCCUGUCCUUGGGGACGAUAAUGACGGUACCCAAGGAGGAAGCACCGGCUAACUACGUGCCAGCAGCCGCGGUAAAACGUAGGGUGCAAGCGUUGUCCGGAAUUACUGGGUGUAAAGGGAGCGCAGGCGGAUUGACAAGUUGGGAGUGAAAACUACGGGCUCAACCCGUAACCUGCUUUCAAAACUGUCAGUCUUGAGUGGUGUAGAGGUAGGCGGAAUUCCCGGUGUAGCGGUGGAAUGCGUAGAUAUCAGGAGGAACACCGGCGGCGAAGGCGGCCUGCUGGACCGCGACUGACGUUGAGGCUCGAAAGCGUGGGGAGCGAACAGGAUUAGAUACCCCAGUAUC